rnacentral:rRNA from 1 species
UUGGCGGACGGGUGAGUAACGCGUGGAUAACCUGCCGUAUACCGGGGGAUAACACUUAGAAAUAGGUGCUAAUACCGCAUAAGCGCACGGCUCCGCAUGGGGCAGUGUGAAAAAUUCCGGUGGUAUACGAUGGAUCCGCGUCUGAUUAGCUAGUUGGCGGGGUAACGGCCCACCAAGGCAGCGAUCAGUAGCCGGCCUGAGAGGGUGGACGGCCACAUUGGGACUGAGACACGGCCCAAACUCCUACGGGAGGCAGCAG